rnacentral:rRNA from 1 species
UGGGGAAUAUUGGACAAUGGGCGAAAGCCUGAUCCAGCCAUGCCGCGUGAGUGAUGAAGGCCCUAGGGUUGUAAAGCUCUUUCACCGGUGAAGAUAAUGACGGUAACCGGAGAAGAAGCACCGGCUAACUACGUGCCAGCAGCCGCGGUAAUACGUAGGGUGCAAGCGUUAAUCGGAAUUACUGGGCGUAAAGCGUGCGCAGGCGGUUUUGUAAGACGGAUGUGAAAUCCCCGGGCUUAACCUGGGAACUGCAUUCGUGACUGCAAGGCUAGAGUAUGGCAGAGGGGGGUAGAAUUCCACGUGUAGCAGUGAAAUGCGUAGAGAUGUGGAGGAAUACCGAUGGCGAAGGCAGCCCCCUGGGCCAAUACUGACGCUCAUGCACGAAAGCGUGGGGAGCAAACA